CAGUCGCCGCGGGAAUACGUAGGUGGCAAGCGUUGUCCGGAAUUAUUGGGCGUAAAGGGCUCGCAGGCGGUUUCUUAAGUCUGAUGUGAAAGCCCCCGGCUCAACCGGGGAGGGUCAUUGGAAACUGGGAAACUUGAGUGCAGAAGAGGGGAGUGGAAUUCCACGUGUAGCGGUGAAAUGCGUAGAGAUGUGGAGGAACACCAGUGGCGAAGGCGACUCUCUGGUCUGUAACUGACGCUGAGGAGCGAAAGCGUGGGGAGCGAACAGGAUUAGAUACCCGGGUAGUCCCUGUCUCUUAUAC
rnacentral:rRNA from 1 species